rnacentral:rRNA from 1 species
AAGGCCAUGCGGCGACGCAGAGCGGAACCCGAAAACCUGUCUCAGUUCGGAUUGGAGUCUGCAACCCGACUCCAUGAAGCUGGAUUCGCUAGUAAUCGCGCAUCAGCCACGGCGCGGUGAAUACGUUCCCGGGCCUUGUACACACCGCCCGUCAAGCCAUGGAAGCCGGGAGUGCCUGAAGUGCGUGAGCGCAAGCAGCGCCCUAAGGUAAAACCGGUGACUGGGGCUAAGUCGUAACAAGGUACC